rnacentral:rRNA from 1 species
GGAUUGCAGGCUGNAACCCGCCUGCAUGAAGUUGGAAUUGCUAGUAAUCGCGGAUCAGCAUGCCGCGGUGAAUACGUUCCCUGGCCUUGUACACACCGCCCGUCACACCAUGGGAGCCGGUAAUACCCGAAGUCAGUAGCCUAACCGCAAGGGGGGCGCUGCCGAAGGUAGGAUUGGCGACUGGGGUGAAGUCGUAACAAGGUAAC